GACAGGUGAGACCUGGAGACUUGGAACCGCCCCUGGUGGGCGGAGCUGGUCUGUGCUCCUUUCAUAAGCGCAGGUGUGGGCAAUUAGGUAUUCCUCAGCAAACCUGAAGCUGCAAGUGUGUGGUCCAAGUUGGGCAAGUUGGUGUUAACUUCUGUCUAUGAAAGUCUGAUAUGGGUCCUCCCCUAAACUUCUUUUAGAACGGUAGGUUACACAAAAAUGUACCACUUGAGCUCUGGCUGUUGGCAGAGGUUUAUAGUUAUGUGCACCCUUGUAGGUGGGAAACAUUGCUCCCGUGAGAACAGUACAGUGGACUUCAUCGCCACUGACCCACAGUUAUUUGGGUGUGAUACGAACUUGUGGACAGAGUACCGAGCUGCUGCUUUGCCCGGUGGAUUUCUGGUUGCGGGCAAAGGACCCAACACAUCAGUGUGUUUUAAUUUGUUUUAAACUGGUGUAAGUCGACAGACUGACUGUUGCGGCUGUCGAUUGUUUUGUUUUGUUUUUCUUUUCUUUUUUCUGUAUCAGUAGGCACCACAAAUAUUGAUUCUUUUAGUAUUUUUAACCCUUUUCUUAAAUGUGUAUAGAUAUAUUGUCGCGAACGGUGAAGGCGCUGCAGGGAGAACAAAUCCUUUUUUUUUCCCUCACCGCUUCUGCAUGCACAGCGGUGGGCCUGAGUGAAGACGGCACUGAAGCUUUUGUUUUUCUCUA